rnacentral:rRNA from 1 species
GAUGAACGCUUGCGACAGGCUUAACACAUGCAAGUCGAGCGGCAGCAUGGUCUUAGCUUGCUAAGGCCGAUGGCGACCGGCGCACGUGUGAGUAACACGUAUCCAACCUGCCGUCUACUCUUGGACAGCCUUCUGAAAGGAAGAUCAAGACAAGAUGGCACCAUGAGUCGGCAUGUUCACAUGAGUAACGGUAUUCCGGUAGACGACGGGGGUGCGUUCCGUUAGAUAGUAGGCGGGGUGACGGCCGACCUAGACUUCGAUGGACAGGGGUUCUUUGAGGGAGGUCCCCCACAAUGGAACUGGGACACGGUCCAAAAGCGUACGGGCGGCAGCAGUGAGGAAUAGUGGUCAGUGGGCGCAGGCCUGAACCAGCCAAGUAGCGUGAAGGAGGACUGCUCUAUGGGUUGUAAACUUCUUUUAGAAAGGAAUAACGUCGGGUAUGUAUACCCGUUUGCCUGUACUUUAUGAAUAAGGAUCGGCUAACUCCGUG